AAACGUGUGACCAUCAUGCCGAAGGA
rnacentral:piRNA from 1 species